GGCAGUCGUGGCCUAAUGGUUAGAGUGUAGGACUGUGAACCUGAAGGUCGUGGGUUUGAGUCUCAGGCUGGCA